GCUGCUUGUAUGUCUUCUUUAGAAAAAAUGUCUUUUCAUGUCCUUUGCCCACUUUUUAAUGUUUUUUUUCUCUUGUUGAGCUUUUGAUUUCCUUAUAGAGUCUGGAUAUCAGUCCUUUGUUGGACACAUAGUUUGCAAAUAUUUUCUCUCAUUCUGUAGGUUUGUUUACUCUGUUGACUAUUUCUUUUUCUGUGCAGAAGGUUUUCAAUUUACUUAAGUCCCAUUUGUCUAUUUUUUAUUUCAUUGCAUUUGCUUUUGAGGUCAUAGUCAUAAGUUCUUUGCGUAGGCCAUUAUCUAGAAGAAUUUUUCCUAGGUUUUCUUCUAGGAUUUUUACCAUUUCAGAUCAUACAUUUAAGUCUUUAAUCCAUCUUUAAUUAAAAAUUUUAUAUAUGGUCAGAGACAGAGGUCCAGCUUCAUUUUUCUGCAUAUGGUGCUCCAAUUUUCCCAGCACCAUUUAUUGAAUAGAGUGUUCAUUCCCCAGUGUAUAUUUUUGUUGAUUUUGUCAAAGAUCAGUUGGUUGUAGGUAUGUGGCUUUAUUUCUGGGUUCUCUUUCUGUUCCAUUGAUCUGUGUGUCUAUUUUUGUACCAUUACCAUGCUGUUUUGGUUGCUGUAGCCCUGUAGAAUAAUUUGAAGUCAAGUAAUGUGAUGCUUCUGGCUUUGUUCCUUGUUAAUUUUUUUCUUUUUUGAGACAGGGUCUUGCUCUGCUGUCCAGGCUGGAGUGCUGUGGCAUGAUUUUGGCUCACUUCAGCUUCAACUGCACAGGCUCAAGUGAUCCUCCCACCUCAGACUCCCAAGUAGCUUGGACUACAGAGGGCCUAAUCAUGAGAUGAAGCGGAGAAAUAAUGAAGUGCUUAUGAACAUUAUGGAGACCAGAAAUUGCAGGAAAUCCAGAACAUCCAGAGGCUUGACAUUCACGGGGUGGCCCAGAAUUUAUGCUCUAAAUGCAGAGCAUCUCCAGAGACAUCCACAGGGCAGGACACGUUCCAAGGUAGCAACAGCAGAGGAGCCUUGCCAAUUGCCUGUUAAAUUGACUGCAUCCCCCAGGUGAGGUCCAGGGCCUUUAUCUGAGGAAGCUGCAUCAUCUGGGGUUGUGGGUCCUGCAGGAUCAUCUCCUUCAUUUCUGGUAUCAAGCUGGGUCCUAGCCAUGCCAUGGUAAGGUUUGAUGCAUCGUACUGGAAUCCAAAGAGGACCUGAGGGGGUGUGAACACAACAUAUCCUCUUCCCCAUGUUAGCAAAUCAUUUGGACCACACCAUACUUUACUAUUUACAUCCUUCCAUUAAACUGCAGGUUUUAUGUUUUCAGAGGCUUUAGCAAACUGCUUUUCUAUAGCUGAUUGAAAUUGACAUCUAAAUUUAAGAAAUUAAGGGUAAAUAAGGCUUGUGCUAGUAGUGUUGCAGGGUCCUUACUCAUACUCCCCUUGUUUUCUGAGCAUAUUUAUGAGGGUGGAGUGGGCAUGUUCUACUAUGGCCUGUCCUUGGGGGUUAUAUGGGAUG
rnacentral:lncRNA from 1 species